rnacentral:rRNA from 1 species
CAAUAGCGUAUAUUAAAGUUGUUGUGGUUAAAAAGCUCGUAGUUGGAUCUCAACAGUCUUGAAGCGGUCAACUUUGUAGUUGUACUGCUUUGUAGACUGUGCUUUUGCUGGAGGUUUAGGGGUGCUCUUAAUCGAGUGUCUCUGGAUGCCAGCAGGUUUACUUUGAAAAAAUUAGAGUGCUCAAAGCAGGCUAAAAUGCCUGAAUAUUCGUGCAUGGAAUAAUAGAAUAGGAUGUCGAUCCUAUUUUGUUGGUUUUCGGGACUUGACAUAAUGAUUAAUAGGGACAGUCGGGGGCAUUUGUAUUCAAACGACAGAGGUGAAAUUCUUGGACCGUUUGAAGACAAACUACUGCGAAAGCAUUUGCCAAGAAUGUUUUCAUUAAUCAAGAAC